AGGGUUCGAUUCUGGCUCAGGAUGAACGCUAGCGGCAGGCUUAACACAUGCAAGUCGAGGGGCAGCGGGAUGUAGCAAUACAUUGCCGGCGACCGGCGGAUGGGUGCGUAACGCGUAUGCAACCUACCUUAUACAGGGGAAUAACCUUUCGAAAGGGAGACUAACACCCCAUGGUAUUGAUUUAAGGCAUCUUAGAUUAAUUAAAUAUUUAUAGGUAUAAGAUGGGCAUGCGUAUGAUUAGCUAGUUGGUAAGGUAACGGCUUACCAAGGCGACGAUCAUUAGGGGUUCUGAGAGGAAGGUCCCCCACACUGGUACUGAGACACGGACCAGACUCCUACGGGAGGCAGCAGUGAGGAAUAUUGGUCAAUGGGCGCAAGCCUGAACCAGCCAUGCCGCGUGCAAGGAAGACGGCCUUAUGGGUUGUAAACUGCUUUACAUAAGACUAACCGUAUAUUUGCGAAUAUACCUGAAUGUAUUAUGAGAAUAAGGAUCGGCUAACUCCGUGCCAGCAGCGGC
rnacentral:rRNA from 1 species